GAUCACAGCGGAACCUGAUUGGCCAAUUUCGCUGUCAGUCAGAGGUUCUCCGUCACCUUCAGUUCCUCCAGUUUUCACGGGCUCAUGCUGACCUGUGCAACGGCUGGAAUCUGAAUUAUGAAAAUGUGGAGGGGAAAAGAGUUGUAAACUAAUUCACUGCCUUGCCUACUAUUAUUUGCGUUACACCUCCUCUGAGUCUGACAAGCAGUUUUUAAGAGGGACCGAAGCAAAGAAGGUGGAGAGAGAAUGAGAUCUCUAAUAGAUGGCAGAAUCUCUCCCGGCCUGGAGGAUUUACAGAGACAAGACGCCAUCUCAGCCUUUAAAACACUCUUAAAAUGACGGAUGAUAUAACACAUGGGACAUUCUUUGGAUUUUGAAGAGUUGUAACUUUGGUACGCCAAAAUCUGAACUGCAUCUGAACUGUCAUUAAACGCUGCCUCAGAAAUCUGUCUGAAAACAGUUUCAUGAGGUACCUUCGUGUGCAAACACUGCCUGCAGAGUCAUUGCCUGAUAGGGUAGUGAGGCAACAAGUCGCUGCCUAAGUUUUCGGAUGCAGCCCAGGAACAAUGAAGAUCUGAAUAUGUAAAAGGGAUUGUAGCUGCUUCAGUGGAGUCAAGGCUGUCAAACCGCUGACCAAGUGUGUCUAACUCCUUCACAGAUGCAAACACCGAAUGAACCCUCCAGCCUGCUUCUCACUUAGCUGAAAGAGCCCUCAUUGGGCUCAACUAACCAUGUAAUGAGUGAGAGCAACCUGUUAGAUGAGGGACUGACCAGGGAACACACACACACCGCUCAGACGCUUGCCUAAACACAGAUAAUCCCUGUAGCUCACUGUAGCAGCGGGGUGCUAGUGAACAGAGCAGUGAUGGAUGUGUUUGCCUACUUAUCUUCCCCUAAUGAUCAAUUGAUUUGCUGCCCCUGGACAGCUGCACAGUCCAGCUUUUGACCGAUAUGGUGGUAGUGAAACCCAGCUGAGGGGGUGGCACUGGAGACGGAGACGAAAUGGCAAUCAAUGAAAACACGAGAUCCACAAAAGCAAAGCAAACUAACUUUAGGUGGCCAUGAUCAGAUAUAGCAAAAGGUAAGGGCUGUGGUGAAGUUUGUUGUUUGGAAACGUAGUAAGGUAGUGUAUUACCAGUUUUGAGCAAUCUCUCGCCACAAGUUAAAUCCAUGUAAAUACCUUUGUAUUAUUUAAUGCUAGAGUUGUACAAAUGAGGGUACUUUCUAACCUCUUCACACAAUCUCUCAUCUAUGUAGGCCUCCAUUGUUGCUGUAGCUUGAAUGUGUUCCUGUCUGUUCUGUUUAUGCAGUUUUUCUUCGACUACCUUGUGAAACUACACCCCAGGGCACAGUUGCCACCUUGUGGAUAAACUAAUUACUGCAAAAAAAUUAAAUGCACAUGUGCGAUCUGUGCGUACAAACUACGCGCGAUUACAAAAAUCCAGCUGUGCGCAUAGUCUUCUGAUGACGAAAUUCGCGUUGCAUGCACUGUACGCUGACCCUCGAGUAUGUGUAAAAAGUGAAGUAUACUUUGGCCUUUAUUGUCACAGAUUCUGUGUUUCUGUUUACUUAAUUUGAGUAUUUUCGGCUCCCUUUGUUUCCUAUGUUUCCUCUGUUGCCAUAGUUACUCAUUAGUUGAUUGAUUUGUCCCACCUGUUCCUUGUUUUCUCACUCACUAUCCUGUGUAUUUAUACCCCAUGUUUAGUUCUGUCCUUUAUCUGUGUUCAUCUGUUAUAUGGUUCGGUUUUUGGUUCCUGAGGUUUUAUUAGUGUUUUGUAUUGUUUUCUUUAAUAAAACUACUUGCACAGA